GACGAACGCUGGCGGCGUGCUUAACACAUGCAAGUCGAACGGAAAGGCCCUGCUUUUGUGGGGUGCUCGAGUGGCGAACGGGUGAGUAACACGUGAGUAACCUGCCCUUGACUUUGGGAUAACUUCAGGAAACUGGGGCUAAUACCGGAUAGGAGCUCCUGCUGCAUGGUGGGGGUUGGAAAGUUUCGGCGGUUGGGGAUGGACUCGCGGCUUAUCAGCUUGUUGGUGGGGUAGUGGCUUACCAAGGCUUUGACGGGUAGCCGGCCUGAGAGGGUGACCGGCCACAUUGGGACUGGGAUGCGGCCAAGACGGCUACUGGAGGCAGCAGUGGGGAACAUUGCACGAUGGGCGGCAGCCUGAUGCAGGAACGCCGCGUGCGAGAUGACGGCCUGUGGGGUGUAAACCUCGUUCGCCUGGGACGAAGCGUGAGUGACGGUAAUGGGUAAAGAAGCACCGGCUAACUACGUG
rnacentral:rRNA from 1 species